AUUGAACGCUGGCGGCAGGCCUAACACAUGCAAGUCGAGCGAGCGGCGGACGGGUGAGUAAUGUAUGGGGACUGCCCGAUAGAGGGGGAUAACUACUGGAAACGGUGGCUAAUACCGCAUACCCUAGGAUAACCCAAAUGGGAUUAGGUAGUAGGUGAGGUAAUGGCUCACCUAGUCGACGAUCCCUAGCUGGUCUGAGAGGAUGAUCAGCCACACUGGGACUGAGACACGGCCCAGACUCCUACGGAGGCAGCAGUGGGGAAUAUUGCGCAAUGGGCGCAAGCCUGAUGCAGCCAUGCCGCGUGUAUGAAGAAGGCCUUAGGGUUGUAAAGUUCUUUCGGUAGGGAGGCGUUACCUACAGAAGAAGCACCGGCUAACUCCGUGCCAGCAGCCGCGGUAAUUC
rnacentral:rRNA from 1 species